rnacentral:lncRNA from 1 species
UGACUUUCGGUGAAGUCUUCAUUGGGAUAACGACUAUUCAACUCAAAACAAUACGAAAACAUUAGAAUACUGCAGAUUCAUUUCAACAAUGCUCAAAUUAUGCUCUACAUACUCAGAUCAAUCUUGGUAAUAACUCAUAAAACUGCCAAACAUAAAUAAGUCAUCGACAAAAUUGCAAAAACUUCAGCAAGAACACCUCCAUGUUCAUACUCAAAACACACAUACAGAUCAACAAAAUUGCAAAAACUUCAGACAAUCAACUCGAAUCACAUCACAAAAAAAUCAAUUUGACAAAAACCCAACAUGAAAUUUGAGCCUAAACCCUAAAUAACAAAAACCCAUCGAAAAUCAGAAACCCUCACCUUGAAUUUGGGACUUGAUUCGCGUCGAUUUCGAGAUUCGCGUCGCUGCCCGUCAUUUAGAACGAGAGGGAGAGAGACAACUGAUAGAGUAGUGGUGGUGGUUGGAUUUAAGAUUGUGAAGAGGAAAGCUUGUAAACGAGAGGGAGAGAGAUGUGUAUGGGAAAGAGAGGAGAGAUGAGCAAGAGGGAAGAGAGAGGUCUAUCAAUUAUACGGGAAAGAGGGAAAGACCGAAAGAGGGCAAGAGGGAAGAGAGAGGUCUAUUAAUUAUACGGGAAAAAGGGAAAGACCGAAAGAGGGAAGUGCCAAACUUAGGAAAAAUUGAAACAAAGUGCCUAUUUUUCACUAUUGGAGCGCCAAAAUUAUCAUAUCUUGCGCGACAUUGGUAUACAAUUUGACGUCGCGCAAAGUGCUUUUGCGCGACGACCAUGUUAAGGCGUCGCGCAAGGUAUUUUUUUUUUCAAUUAUUAUAAAAAUUACUGAAAAUAUGACUUUACUCCUUUCAAAUUCAAUUUUUUUUUACAUAAACCCCAAAAUAAUAUAUUUUUCUAAUAAAAACCCACAAAUUUUUUUUUACAUAUAUAUAUCAUUCAAUUUCUUAAGUGUUAUAAGUACUAAAUAAAUAAAUUAAAAUCUACUUAGUAAAUAUAAAUACCAUUGAAUUUGAUGAGAAACGCAUUGUUAGAAAUCCACUAGUAAAUAUAUAUCUAAUUAUAUA